CGUAAUCACUUGUCUUUUAAAUGGAGACCAGUAUGAAUGGCAUAACGAGGGCCAAGCUGUCUCCUUUUUCCAGUCAAUGAAAUUGAUCUCUCUGUGCAGAAGCAGGGAUAUAAACAUAAGACGAGAAGACCCUAUGGAGCUUAAGACACAAGACAGCCCAUGUUAAAAACCCACAAUUAAUGGAAAAAACCAAAUGGCCUCUGUCCUCCUGUCUUUGGUUGGGGCGACCAUGGAGUAACAAAAAACCCCCAUGUGGAACAGGGCCUAAGCCCUUAAAGCAAGAGCCACAGCUCUAGCAAACAGAACAUCUGACCUUCAAGAUCCGGCAAGACCGAUCAACGGACCGAGUUACCCUAGGGAUAACAGCGCAAUCCCCUUUUAGAGCCCAUAUCGACAAGGGGGUUUACGACCUCGAUGUUGGAUCAGGACACCCUAAUGGUGCAGCCGCUAUUAAGGGUUCGUUUGUUCAACGAUU
rnacentral:rRNA from 1 species